AGCUCCAGUAGCGUAUAUUAAAGUUGUUGCAGUUAAAAAGCUCGUAGUUGGAUUUCUGACGAACCGGAUUGGCCCGUUUCCUUUCCGGGAAUGAGUGCCGCUUUGAGUUUGUCAUCCUUCCAGAGAGCUACGUCUACCGUUUACUCGGCCGGACGUAUCGAUCUGGAUCUAUUACUUUGAAAAAAUUAGAGUGUUUAAAGCAGGCUUAUGCUCUGAAUACAUUAGCAUGGAAUAAUAAUUUAGGACUUUGGUUCUAUUUUGUUGGUUUCUAGGACUGAAGUAAUGAUUGAUAGGGAUAGUUGGGGGUGCUAGUAUUCCCGGAAGACUAACUACUGCGAAAGCAUUCACCAAGGAUGUCUUCU
rnacentral:rRNA from 1 species